rfam:Erinaceus europaeus unplaced genomic scaffold scaffold00552, whole genome shotgun sequence
GGAUGUGAGGGUGAUCUGGCUGCGACAUCUGUCACCCCAUUGAUCGCCAGGGUUGAUUUGGCUGAUCUGGCUGGCUAGGCGGGUGCCCCCUUCCUCCCUCACCACUCCAUGUGAGUCCCUCCCGAAGCUGCGCGCUCAGUCGAAGAGGACGGCCUUCACCGAAUAGAGAUGGAUCGGUCUUCAGUCGAGGGUAUACGAGUAGCGGCGCUCCCCUUCUAGAACCUCCAAACAAGCUCUCAAGGAUUCUGGGGCCUGGCCGGGAGGGGCUGGCUCAGCUGUGCACAGCAAACUUGGU